UACGGGGGGGGCAAGCGUUGUUCGGAAUUACUGGGCGUAAAGGGCUCGUAGGCGGCCAACUAAGUCAUACGUGAAAUCCCUCGGCUUAACCGGGGAACUGCGUCUGAUACUGGAUGGCUUGAGUUCGGGAGAGGUGAGUGGAACUGCGAGUGUAGAGGUGAAAUUCGUAGAUAUUCGCAAGAACACCAGUGGCGAAGGCGGCUCACUGGCCCGAUACUGACGCUGAGGCACGAAAGCGUGGGGAGCAAACAGG
rnacentral:rRNA from 1 species